rnacentral:rRNA from 1 species
CCCGUCACGUCAUGGGAGUUGUCAAGGCGUGAAGUCCGUGGGCUGACCUUCGCAAGAAGGAGGCAGCGGCCGAGCGCCGGGGCAGCGACUGGGACG